GACGGACGCUGGCGGCGUGCCUAAUACAUGCAAGUCGUGCGGACUUUGCGGGAGCUUGCUCCCAAGAAGUUAGCGGCGGACGGGUGAGUAACACGUGGGCAACCUGCCUGACAGACUGGGAUAACAUUCGGAAACGAAUGCUAAUACCGGAUAGGCAGCGAAGAGGCAUCUCUUUGCUGAGAAAGUCGCUACGGCGUCACUGUCAGAUGGGCCCGCGGGGCAUUUGCUAGUUGGUAGGGUAACGGCCUACCAAGGCGACGAUGCGUAGCCGACCUGAGAGGGUGACCGGCCACACUGGGACUGAGACACGGCCCAGACUCCUACGGGAGGCAGCAGUAGGGAAUCUUCCACAAUGGGCGAAAGCCUGAUGGAGCAACGCCGCGUGAGUGAUGAAGGCCUUCGGGUUGUAAAACUCUGUCUUCUGGGACGAACGGCCAAGAGAGGGAAUGCUCUUGGAUUGACGGUACCAGAGGAGGAAGCCACGGCUAACUACGUGCCAGCCGCCGCCGUAA
rnacentral:rRNA from 1 species